AUGCUUGGGAAUAUGCCUUAUGGUGGGGGACAACAGUUGGAAACGACUGCUAAUACCGCAUAACAUCUCCGGAUCAAAGUGGGGGACCUUCGGGCCUCACGCCAUAAGAGUAGCCCAAGUGGGAUUAGCUAGUUGGUAAGGUAAUGGCUUACCAAGGCGACGAUCCCUAGUUGGUCUUAGAGGAUGACCAGCCACACUGGAACUGAGACACGGUCCAGACUCCUACGGGAGGCAGCAGUGGGGAAUAUUGCACAAUGGGCGCAAGCCUGAUGCAGCCAUGCCGCGUGUGUGAAGAAGGCUUUCGGGUUGUAAAGCACUUUCAGCGAGGAGGAAAGGUUGUACUUUAAUAGAGUGCAGCUGUGACGUUACUCGCAGAAGAAGCACCGGCUAACUCCGUGCCAGCAGCCGCGGUAAUACGGAGGGUGCGAGCGUUAAUCGGAAUUACUGGGCGUAAAGCGCGCGUAGGCGGUUAAUUAAGUCAGAUGUGAAAUCCCAGGGCUCAACCUUGGAACUGCAUUUGAAACUGGUUAACUAGAGUUUUGUAGAGGGUGGUAGAAUUUCAGGUGUAGCGGUGAAAUGCGUAGAGAUCUGAAGGAAUACCAGUGGCGAAGGCGGCCACCUGGACAAAGACUGACGCUGAGGCGCGAAGGCGUGGGGAGCAAACGGGAUUAGAUACCCCGGUAGUCCACGCAGUAAACGAUGUCUAUUAGAAUUUUGUGGCUAUAUGCCGUGGGAUUCAAAGCUAACGCAUUAAAUAGACCGCCUGGGGAGUACGGCCGCAAGGUUAAAACUCAAAUGAAUUGACGGGGGCCCGCACAAGCGGUGGAGCAUGUGGUUUAAUUCGAUGCA
rnacentral:rRNA from 1 species